GGCUGUAGUAUAACGGUAGUACGCCUGCUUUGGGAGCAGGUGGCCCGGGUUCAAUUCCCGGCAGCC
rnacentral:tRNA from 1 species